GUGGCUGUGGUGGAAUGGUAGACACUGGAGACUUAAAAUCUCCUGCCGGUGACGGCGUGAGGGUUCAAUUCCCUCCAGCCACA
rfam:Ostreococcus tauri chloroplast, complete genome.